rnacentral:rRNA from 1 species
GUAGUCUGCAACCCGACUACAUGAAGCUGGAAUCGCUAGUAAUCGCGAAUCAGAAUGUCGCGGUGAAUACGUUCCCGGGUCUUGUACACACCGCCCGUCACACCAUGGGAGUUGACAACGCCCGAAGUCAGUGACCCAACCGAAAGGAAGGAGCUGCCGAAGGCGGGGUUGAUAACUGGGGUGAAGUCGUAACAAGGUAUC